ACGACAGGAGUGCAUGUGAUGAUCGUGCUAUAAUUACGUCGCCUGUGUAGUUUCGAUCCUGGUAUCAGAACUGCAACGUCUGACCGGUAGGGCUUACACAUGCAAGUCUGAACCAUCCUUCGGGAUAGUGGCAGACCGGGUACUUAACGCGUGGCAACCUUCCCUAUGGUACGGAAUACCUCCGGGAAACUGGAAUUAAUACCGUAUACGCCCUUCCAGGGAAAGAUUUAUCGCCAUAGGAUGGGCCCGCGUUGGAUUAGCUUGUUGGUGAGGUAUCGGCUCUCCAAGGCGACUGAUCCAUAGCUGGUCUUAGAGGAUGAUCAGCCACGCUGGGGUUAAACACGGGCCAGUCUCCUACGGGAGGCAGCAGUGGGGAAUAUUGGCCAAUGGGCGCAAGCCUGAUCCAGCCAUACCGCGUGAGUGUACGAAGGCCUUAGGGUUGUAAAGCUCUUUUGGCGGGGUACGAUAAUGACUGGUAGUCGCAGAAUAAGCGCCGGCUAACUUCGUGCCAGCAUACCGCGGUAAUCGAAGGGGCGCUAGCGUUGUUCGGAGAUCACUGGGCGUAAAGCGCACGUAGGCUGACUGGUCAGUUGGGGGUAAAAUCCCGGGUGCUCACACCUCGCAGCGUGCCUUCAAUACUGCCAGUCUUGAGUCCGAGAGAGGUGAGUGGAAUUCCUAGUGUAUAGGUGAAAUUCGUAGAUAUUAGGAGGACCUCCAGUGGCGAAGGCGGCUCACUGGCUCGAUACUGUCCCUUAGGUGCGAAAGUGUGGGGAGCAAACAGGAUUAGAUACCCUGGUAGUC
rnacentral:rRNA from 1 species